AGUUUGUGUCCGUGGGUUAUUCCCCUCUGUGCCUGGAUUUGAAGGGCUGCUCUUUCUCUUUUUGGCUGAAGAGACUCACCAUGGCUUCUGCCCCCUCGGCUUGCUGUAGUGUUGCUGCAGUUUGUGCUGCCGUAGACAGACCUGAAGCAGCUCUGAGCUCCUCGGCUGGCUGAUUCGACAGUGCUGCCCCCGUGGUGCCAGGAAAAGAAGUGGAACCUCCAAAAAUCAACCAUCAGAGCUGGGAGCCUCUGUUUUAUUAAUGCCCUCUUGGGAGAAUGAAUAUUGAAGCGUACCUAGGAGCGAGUAAAGUACUGGAGUAGGAUUGAACAGAGGCUGCAAGCUUGGAGAGAUUUCACGUGUGACCUACUAGAUACUAAGUUGUUGGAUGACUGUUGAAGAGCAGAGGUACUGAUUUGUUGCCUUUAAGGGUCCAGUGCUUCUGGAGAGCUGCUGCCUCCCAAGAGCUCCAGUUGUUAUUUCAUUAAUCUCCUGAUAGAGAAUGAAAAAUUUGUCAGUCUGAAAGAGUGGAAAGGAAAAAGAAGGAAAGGAGAAAAAAAAGGUUCAAUCUGGAGAGAUAACCCUGAUGAUCAAGGAGAGAUGGGAUCUGUGAAGCGUGGAAGGAAGGGAAGAGCUCAGAAAACGAUGGAAUUCAUAACCCUGCUGUACAGAGAAUGAAUAAAGUACCCUUAGACGCAUCUACUUUCCAAUCGGGCUCAAAGUACAUCUUAGCAGAUCAUUACU